CCCAGACACUGUUCAGAGAGGUGUACUGUUUUCCCUCCUUGUAAAUCUCACAUUUGAUGAUGGACCACAGGUUCUCAAUGGGGUUCAGAUCAGGUGAACAAGGAGGCCAUGUCAUUAGAUUUUCUUCUUUUAUACCCUUUGUUGCCAGCCACGCUGUGGAGUACUUGGACGCGUGUAAUGGAGCAUUGUCCUGCAUGAAAAUCAUGUUUUUCUUGAAGGAUGCAGACUUCUUCCU